CAGUAGCCGCGGUAAUACGGAGGGUGCAAGCGUUAAUCGGAAUUACUGGGCGUAAAGCGUGCGUAGGCGGUUCGUUAAGUCUGUUGUGAAAGCCCCGGGCUCAACCUGGGAAUGGCAAUGGAUACUGGCGAGCUAGAGUGUGUCAGAGGAUGGUGGAAUUCCCGGUGUAGCGGUGAAAUGCGUAGAGAUCGGGAGGAACAUCAGUGGCGAAGGCGGCCAUCUGGGACAACACUGACGCUGAGGCACGAAAGCGUGGGGAGCAAACAGGAUUAGAUACCCCCGUAGUCCCUGUCUCUUAUAC
rnacentral:rRNA from 1 species